GCUCAGUAGCUUAGUUGGUAAAGCGCUCGUCUAGCAUACAAGAGUCCUGGAUUCAAAUCCCAGACGAGCA
rnacentral:tRNA from 1 species